CUUACAGCGUUCUCCAACAAUUCUUCAGUCAAAAGCAAAGAAGAUCAUUGAAACAAUGAGCUCUUCAAACCUCUCAAAUGUAGAGGCAAGUAAGGAAAAUGUGUCGCGACCCAAACGAGCCAAACGGAAAUUAUACACAAAUGAAAUCUCCUCGCCUCUGGAUAUAUCUGGCCAAGUGAUUUUAAUGGACCAAGGAUUGAAGAAAAGUGA